GACGAACGCUGGCGGCGUGCUCAACACAUGCAAGUCGAGCGGAAAGGCUCCUUCGGGGGUACUCGAGCGGCGAACGGGUGAGUAACACGUGAGUAAUCUGCCCUUCACUUGGGGAUAACUCCGAGAAAUCGGUGCUAAUACCCGAUAUGACCAUCAUGCGCAUGUGUGGUGGUGGAAAGUUUUUUCGGUGGGGGAUGUGCUCGCGGCCUAUCAGCUUGUUGGUGGGGUAAUGGCCUACCAAGGCUUCGACGGGUAGCCGGCCUGAGAGGGUGACCGGCCACACUGGGACUGAGACACGGCCCAGACUCCUACGGGAGGCAGUAGUGGGGAAUAUUGGACAAUGGGCGGAAGCCUGAUCCAGCAACGCCGCGUGAGGGAUGACGGCCUUCGGGUUGUAAACCUCUUUCAGCACCGACGAAGCGAGAGUGACGGUAGGUGCAGAAGAAGGACCGGCCAACUACGUGCCAGCCGCCGCAGUAAGAC
rnacentral:rRNA from 1 species